AAGAAGGUAAAAAAAGAGACUGAAAAGUUUCUGCAACUCCAGGCAACAAAAAACUCCAAAAAAAAAAAAUUCACUACUCCAUUAAAACUUUUAGGGUAGUUGAAGUUUUCAGAAGUUCCUGGGUCGGUUCAAGUUCAGAUUUGAUCGUUCAAGUUUGUUUUGGGUUGUUUAUUGUUGUUGUUCAUUCAAAGCUAUUUUCCCAGAUGUUUUGAUACCAUUUCUGGGUUGAAAACUUGAUCUCAAGUUGUCAUUUGACUGUUGUUUGCUUGUUGUUGCCUAGCUGACUCCAAUU
rnacentral:lncRNA from 1 species